UGCGAGUUGCGUGAGGGAUGGAAGUGGAGCUCUUUUUAUAGAUGGCUUUUUUGCCAGCUAUAAAAAAGCGGGAACGUACAGCCCGACCCGAU
rfam:Flavobacterium sp. AED Contig01, whole genome shotgun sequence.